rnacentral:rRNA from 1 species
AUGGCGAAGUCGCCCAUGGCGAUCCUGGCUCUCGGGCUAGCAGCAGUAGUCCUAUCUGGCGCCGGACUGGCAGGCGGCGAUCCCGUGGAGAGCGUCGUCACCGACGCGUUCUUCGACGGGAUCAAGUCCCGGGCCGCCGCCGACGGGUGCCCCGGCAAGAGCUUUUACACGCGCCAGUUUUUCCUGGACGGCGCCCAGGCGAACCCCGACUUCGGGGAAGGCGGCACCAGCGACGACGGCAAGAGGGAGAUAGCCGCCUUCUUCGCCCAUUUCACCCACGAGACUGGAUACAUGUGCUACAUCGAGGAGAAGGACGGGGCGAGCCAGAACUACUGCGACACGAAUUACCCGCUGUGGCCGUGUACCUCGGGGAGGGCGUACUACGGGCGCGGGCCGCUGCAGCUGACGUGGAACUACAACUACGGGGCGGCGGGGCAGAAGCUCGGCUUCAACGGGCUCGACAACCCGGAGAAGGUGGCGCAGGACCCGGCGUUGACGUUCCAGGCGGCGUUCUGGUUCUGGAUGACCAACGUGCAUCAGGUCGUGCCGCAGGGGUUCGGCGAGACCACCAGGAAAAUCAACAGUGGCGAGUGCAACGGCGGGAACGCGCCGGCGAUGAACGCGCGGGCGAACUACUACGUGGAGUACUGCAAGCAGUUCGGGGUCGACCCGGGGAACAACCUCACUUGCUAG